AUUGAACGCUGGCGGCAGGCUUAACACAUGCAAGUCGAGCGGAGUGAUGGUGCUUGCACUAUCACUUAGCGGCGGACGGGUGAGUAAUGCUUAGGAAUCUGCCAUUUAGUGGGGGACAACAUUCCGAAAGGAAUGCUAAUACCGCAUACGUCCUACGGGAGAAAGCAGGGGAUCUUCGGACCUUGCGCUAAAUGAUGAGCCUAAGUCGGAUUAGCUGGUUGGUGGGGUAAAGGCCUACCAAGGCGACGAUCUGGAGCGGGGCUGAGAGGAGGGUCCGCCACACUGGGACUGAGACACGGCCCAGACUCCUACGGGAGGCAGCAGUGGGGAAUAUUGGACAAUGGGCGGAAGCCUGAUCUAGCCAUGCCGCGUGUGUGAAGAAGGCCUUUUGGUUGUAAAGCACUUUAAGCGAGGAGGAGGCUACUAGUACUAAUACUACUGGAUAGUGGACGUUACUCGCAGAAUAAGCACCGGCUAACUCUGUGCCAGCCGCCGCCGUAAUAC
rnacentral:rRNA from 1 species